GCCCAGUACGACUCCCCAGAAGAGAGAGACAAGUCUCUCUAUGCUGUCGCGAGAUUCAUGGACAAAUGGCUGGACACCAACAAAGAGUACAAAUGGAACGUGUUUGUCCGCACCAAGCACCAGGCCUCCCGAUUCCUCUGCUUCUUCUGCAACAAGCGAGCCGGGCGAUAUCUUACAGCCAUGUACCUUUUUGUCAAAGUCCUAUACGUAGCGAACGCCAUCGGGCAGCUGUUCCUGCUGAACGCAUUCCUGUCCACGUCCUACAACUUUUAUGGAUUUGAAUUCAUGGAGAACAUGGUACAAAACGGCCCCUGGCGAGAGAGUCCCAGGUUCCCGCGCGUCACGCUUUGUGACAUCCGCAUCCGUCAGCUCCAGAACCUGCAGCGCUUCACGGUCCAGUGCGUACUACCCAUCAACCUGUUCAACGAGAAAAUCUUCAUCUUCAUUUGGUUUUGGUUGGUCUUCAUCGCCUGUAUUGCUAGCUUCAACCUGGUAUACUGGACGUACCUUAUCAUGUUCACCAAAAACAAGGUGGACUACGCGAAGAAGUAUCUCAAAAUCAACGACGAACUACACACCAACUUCGACAAGAAGCUGGCCGCCAAGUUCGCUGAGAGCUACCUGAGAGAUGAUGGCAUCUUCCUGCUUAGAAUCAUCGCCAGGAACUCCACAGAUAUGGUCGUUACAGACCUUGUCAAACACUUGUGGGCAAUCUUCAAAGACAAGCAAAACACAAAGAAGAACCGAGAACUAGAACCCGAAAUGGAUACCAUGCUUGACGAGGCCAAAGAGCCUCUCACGUGAUCCGUCGGGAGAGUGAGUCGAACUUUCCAAGCAUUUAUGUGAUGCCUCCAUGAUUGCCUUUUGGGGUUUCGUCAGCUGUAUUUAUAGGUCUUCCAAACUAGGAGCUAUGUCGGCCAGUCUUUGAUGUCACCCGACGACCAGGUGCUUAACUAUGAUCCUUUGACUAGUUGUCAUAUUUUGUGUUCCUUUUAAUUAAUGUAAUAUUAAAUUUCAUGACAUUUAAAUCACGUUAGGCAUUAUAAUUCUAGUCUCCUCUCACAAACAGUGAUCAGAUUAUGGUACGAUUUAAUUAGCGAUACCAACAAUAUAUUGAUAAUAGAUAAACAAGAUGUGAACAUGUGGUUGUGAGAAACUGAAAGUGUGUGUUUAUUUUGAUGUUUAAGCCUGUACUGUGUGUCGGGUUUGACAACAAAUCCCAUGUCUUCCCAUGUACUAUACAAAACAAAACAUUUAGCGGUCCCUAUAUUCUUAGCUGCCUUGUAGAUAUUACGCUUUGAACAAAGAUUUCAAAUAAUUUUAGUUUUCGCUUUUUCUGGUAGAGAAAUGGUUUUUUUCCGUGCGGUAUAAACAGACAUAAUUUUGUUCAUCCCUAUUCUUGUAGAAGGAAUGUGAUCUCAGUAUUUUGCAUUGAAGCAAUGUUUUCUUCCAUGUGCAUUGUCUGUAGACAACGACCAAGCUUCAUAGAUCUUUGUGUAUUCUGAAGCUAUGCGUAUCCAUGGCAUUAUUCAUCUAUCAGUUUGUAUUUGUUGAUUGUAAAAAAAAGCAUUCCUUUUUAAAAGAAUAUCUAUGCAUAUUUUUGUAAUAAAUGUUUAUAUAUAUUGUUCAGCAAUGCGAGUUAAAAAUAAAUAAAAGUGAUGGAAACUG
rnacentral:misc_RNA from 1 species